GCCUUCUUAGCUCAGUGGUACAGCGUGUGGCUUUUAACCACGUGGUCGUGGGUUCAAAAUCCACACAGACGGUG
rfam:Ipomoea nil DNA, scaffold: scaffold0861, cultivar: Tokyo-kokei standard.